CUUGAUAGCCUGCUACAUUCGCUAUCCGCCCGGGUACUACGAGCACUAGCUUAAAACCCAAAGGACUUGGCGGUGCUUUAGAUCCACCUAGAGGAGCCUGUUCUAGAACCGAUAACCCCCGUUAAACCUCACCCUCUCUUGUUCUUCCCGUCUAUAUACCGCCGUCGUCAGCUUACCCUAUGAAGGAAUUACAGUAAGCAGAACUAGCACAGCUCAAAACGCCAGGUCGAGGUGUAGCAUAUGAGAGGGGAAGAAAUGGGCUACAUUCCCUACUAUAGGGAAUACGAACAAUGUAAUGAAAUGUACAUUAAAAGGAGGAUUUAGUAGUAAGCAGAAAAUAGAGCG
rnacentral:rRNA from 1 species